GUGGGGAAUAUUGGGCAAUGGGGGAAACCCUGACCCAGCGACGCCGCGUGAGGGAAGACGGCCUUCGGGUUGUAAACCUCUUUUGUACGGGAAGAAGGAAGUGACGGUACUGUACGAAUAAGUCCCGGCUAACUACGUGCCAGCAGCCGCGGUAAUACGUAGGGGACGAGCGUUGUCCGGAAUUACUGGGCGUAAAGGGCGCGCAGGCUGUGCUGCAAGUCAGCUGUGAAAUGUCUGGGCUUAACCCGGGCAUGCGGUUGAGACUGCAGUGCUGGAGUGCUGUAGAGGCAAGUGGAAUUCCCAGUGUAGCGGUGAAAUGCGUAGAUAUUGGGAAGAACACCGGUGGCGAAGGCGACUUGCUGGGCAGCAACUGACGCUGAGGCGCGAAAGCCAGGGGAGCAAACGGGAUUAGAAACCCUGGUAGUCC
rnacentral:rRNA from 1 species